AUUGAACGCUGGCGGCAUGCUUUACACAUGCAAGUCGAACGGUAACAGGCCGCAAGGUGCUGACGAGUGGCGAACGGGUGAGUAAUGCAUCGGAACGUGCCCAGUCGUGGGGGAUAACUACUCGAAAGAGUAGCUAAUACCGCAUACGAUCUAUGGAUGAAAGCGGGGGACCGUAAGGCCUCGCGCGAUUGGAGCGGCCGAUGUCAGAUUAGGUAGUUGGUGGGGUAAAGGCUCACCAAGCCAACGAUCUGUAGCUGGUCUGAGAGGACGACCAGCCACACUGGGACUGAGACACGGCCCAGACUCCUACGGGAGGCAGCAGUGGGCAAUUUUGGACAAUGGGCGCAAGCCUGAUCCAGCAAUGCCGCGUGCAGGAAGAAGGCCUUCGGGUUGUAAACUGCUUUUGUACGGAACGAAACGGCUCUGGUUAAUACCCGGGGCUAAUGACGGUACCGUAAGAAUAAGCACCGGCUAACUACGUG
rnacentral:rRNA from 1 species